AUUGAACGCUGGCGGCAGGCCUAACACAUGCAAGUCGAACGGUAACAGGAAGACGCUUGCUUCUUUGCUGACGAGUGGCGGGCGGGUGAGUAAUGUCUGGGAAACUGCCUGAUGGAGGGGGAUAACUACUGGAAACGGUAGCUAAUACCGCAUAACGUCGCAAGACCAAAAAGGGGGACCUUCGGGCCUCUUGCCAUCGGAUGUGCGCAGAUGGGAUUAGCUAGUAGGUGGGGUAACGGCUCAACUAGGCGACGAUCCCUAGCUGGUCUGAGAGGAUGACCAGCCACACUGGAACUGAGACACGGCCCAGACUCCUACGGGAGGCAGCAGUGGGGAAUAUUGCACAAGGGGCGCAAGCCUGAUGCAGCCAUGCCGCGUGUAUGAAGAAGGCCUUCGGGUUGUAAAGUACUUUCAGCGGGGAGGAAGGGAGUAAAGUUAAUACCUUUGCUCAUUGACGUUACCCGCAGAAGAAGCACCGGCUAACUCCGUG
rnacentral:rRNA from 1 species